rnacentral:rRNA from 1 species
GACGAACGCUGGCGGCGUGCUUAACACAUGCAAGUCGAACGGAAAGGCCCUGCUUUUGUGGGGUGCUCGAGUGGCGAACGGGUGAGUAACACGUGAGUAACCUGCCCUUGACUUUGGGAUAACUUCAGGAAACUGGGGCUAAUACCGGAUAGGAGCUCCUGCUGCAUGGUGGGGGUUGGAAAGUUUCGGCGGUUGUGGAUGGACUCGCGGGUUAUCAGCUUGUUGGUGGGGUAGUGGCUUACCAAGGCUUUGACGGGUAGCCGGCCUGAGAGGGUGACCGGCGACAUUGGGACUGAGAGACGGCCCAGACUCCUACGGGAGGCAGCAGUGGGGAAUAUUGCACAAUGGGCGGAAGCCUGAUGCAGCAACGCCGCGUGCGGGAUGACGGCCUUCGGGUUGUAAACCGCUUUCGCCUGUGACGAAGCGGGAGUGACGGUAAUGGGUAAAGAAGCACCGGCUAACUACGUG